AAACUUUUAAAGUCCCUUGUUAUUAGAACACUGUAUAGAAUUUAAUGAUUAUGUCCUUCAACCUUUCAGCAAAAAAGGAGGAGGACAUUGUGUACGAUGAAGUGAAGGUACGAAGUGAAACAACCCAACAAACUGGUGACACAGACGCCUCAACAGGAUUCUUGCCAGACAAGAAAGCAAACAACAGACGUCGCCGCUAUCAGCAGUUGGCUUGUUGUUUGGGGGUUCUUUGUGUCAUUUUGCUGUUGGGCGUCAUAGCAGUCUGCGUCUACCGUAAGUAUACAGAACAGGAAGUCCGUGCAUUAACUCUAUUAUCUAUAGGCAGUUUGUUUUAUUCACAUAAUCUGCCUCAAAUUGUUUUUUUAAUCUUUUAAGAACAGAGUUAAUUUCUAGACACCAAAUCUCUUGUAGAAAUGUCUGCAGAGAGUAAAGGAUUCAUAAGACAGGGUUCUUAUUUACAUGAUUUCUAUUUUCAAUGUGCAACCAUUUAUUUAUUCUUGGAGAAGCCCACUGUAUCACACUGUAAAGCAUAUUGGUGUGGUGUUGUUGUUGUUGUUGUUGUUGUUGUAUGUUAUCUUAAUGACUUUUAUUCCCAUGUUUUAUAGCUUUGUGGUUAUUUAACCAAAAGAAAACAAAAUGAACACAUAUAAAUUUAAUGUUUAAUUUUUCCCACUUAAAUUUGACUUCAGAAUAAAGCCUUUAUUAUUGAUCAUAUAGUCGAUUGAAUAUGUGAAUUCAUUUGAAGCCACAUAACAGUAGUGAAAGGUUGGUGACAGAAUUAGUAGAAACAGGAAGGCAUUAAAGGAUAAGUUAAAUGAUAAUAUAUAUCUUUUCUUAUUGCGAACAUAUCCCACGAUCAGACCCUAACCAACACAGCACUGAUCCUUGGAGCUCCAAUGUUAUCUGUCAGCUAUUAAAAACACAUCAGUGAGCCAACCUGCUGCAACACGCAACCUGUUCCUUGAGAACAAAGAACAUGGCCACUGUAGCUUCUGACUCAGUCGCACACACACCAUCCUAGCGCCUGAAAAACAUCCCAGACAAAUGCACGGUCCACUGCUGUUUGAGUAAUGUUUACUUAAAACUACAGUGCCCAGCUGAUUUAGACAAUGUUAAAUGUUGACUUAAGUAGGAACCAAUUGGGCUCUGAGUGUCACAGAGGAAGUUCGAAAGUACUAAGAUUCAGAUUAACACGUUUGUUUUAGUCUUUUCAUGGGAUUUGUUGAUCUUGUACAUUGAAGAAACACAUUGAGAGUCAACAACUUCCAAAAGCUGAAAACCU
rnacentral:lncRNA from 15 species